GACGAACGCUGGCGGCGCGCCUAACACAUGCAAGUCGAACGAGCGAGAGAGAGCUUGCUUUCUCGAGCGAGUGGCGAACGGGUGAGUAACGCGUGAGGAACCUGCCUCAAAGAGGGGGACAACAGUUGGAAACGACUGCUAAUACCGCAUAAGCCCGCGGUGCCGCAUGGCACAGAGGGAAAAGGAGCAAUCCGCUUUGAGAUGGCCUCGCGUCCGAUUAGCUAGUUGGUGAGGUAAUGGCCCACCAAGGCGACGAUCGGUAGCCGGACUGAGAGGUUGAACGGCCACAUUGGGACUGAGACACGGCCCAGACUCCUACGGGAGGCAGCAGUGGGGAAUAUUGCACAAUGGGGGAAACCCUGAUGCAGCGACGCCGCGUGGAGGAAGAAGGUCUUCGGAUUGUAAACUCCUGUUGUUGGGGAAGAUAAU
rnacentral:rRNA from 1 species